rnacentral:rRNA from 1 species
UACGUAGGGACCAAGCGUUGUUCGGAUUUACUGGGCGUAAAGGGCGCGUAGGCGGCGCGGUAAGUCACUUGUGAAAUCUCUGAGCUUAACUCAGAACGGCCAAGUGAUACUGCAGUGCUAGAGUGUGGAAGGGGCAAUCGGAAUUCUUGGUGUAGCGGUGAAAUGCGUAGAGAUCCGGAAGAACACCGGUGGCGAAGGCGGCCUGCUGGGCAGUUUAGCUGACACUGAGGCGCGACAGCGUGGGGAGCAAACAGG